UAUCCAGCGGCCUUUGCCGCCGCCGAGUCCGGCGGCCACUGCCGUUGUGUAUAGCGACCACCACAGACUCUCCUGGCGUCUAGCGCCCCCUCCUCUUUUGGUGUCCAGCGCCGCCGCCUCUUCAGGCGUCCAGCUUCGCCGCCUCCGAUGAUUACUGUCGCCACUGCCUUAGGCGGCUACUAUUUCCAGCGGCCACCAGCACUACCUCCGGUGAGUGUCGCCCCCCGGCGACAACCACCGUCAUCCUCCGGACAGCCGCCGUUCGAGUGCUCAGGUAUCAUACUAUUUAUCUAUUCCGGCCUGCGAGCCGAUAUGGUGUCCGGCCUUUGAGCCGCUAUUGUAUUUUGGCCUGUGAGCCAAUAGAGUGUCCAGCCUUCAUGCCACUGUUGUAUUUCGGCCGCCGUCCGAGUGCUCAGUUGGAUCGCGCGUCGUCUUGCGGAUCCAUACCGCGUUCGAGCUCGAGUCGCCAGAGCCAACUACUCAUCUGGUGGACCUUUAUCUCCUCGUCAGGGCCACGAUGACCCGAUCAGCACCGUGAUCAAUUCACCCAUCCAUCCGAGGGCACCCCCCAGGGUCAGGGUACGUCCCUGUAUUCAUAUCUCAUUUACGUCAUUAUUCUACUAUUCAUUUAUUCAACUGCUUAUGCAUUAUUGGGAUCCACCUCGAGCAUCGGGGUACCAGAGACCGGGGCGACCCGGUUGAUGGCUACAGGUGUUGUUGACCAGAGGAUUCCGGAUGACUUGGUCAACACAGGAGACAGCUCACCAUCCGGGUCAUGGAGAUGCGGUCAACAUUCUAGACACGUCAUUCCGGCAGGGCUUGGGAGCUCGCAUGCACAUUUCUCGAGUGAAAGUUUCCAUCGUACGAUCCUCUGCAUGAUCAUGCCACCAACUAUGUCGUCUGUCGGAGGCACGGGCUCCCAGAAGGAUAUCGCUAGACCCUCCUUUUGUCCAUUACUGGUCCGAGCGGGUGAGCGUUCGGCCAACCUUCAGCUGUCCGGACGUUAUCGUUCUCGGGCCGAGCGGGAUGGUCGCUCGGCCAACCUUCCACUGUUCGAGCUCCGCUAUUGUGCUGAGUGGAGCUGUGUCUGAAUGUAUUUACUUAGUCGCGACCCCGCUUUGUUUGUUCCAAUGUUUGAUGGAAGUCCGAGCGGCUGACCACUCGGCGUAUGUCUCAUCGACACAUAAUUCUCUGAGUGUCAGAAGUUCGGUACAUGGCCGAGCUAUGAUAAUAUUAGAUCAGAUAUUUUUUAUUCCGGUCGAACAAGUGGGUUACCCGAUCGGCCGAUGAUGUAGGAGAAUUGAUCACGUCUUGACUUUGACUUCUACCGUGACUUUAUCCCUCCAUGAGGUGAGUCCCUUAUCCCCGUAUCAUGCAUCAAAGAAUCUUCUCAUGUUUAAAUUGCUUUGUGUAGAUCUCAAUGAUUUAGUGGCGGUGAUGAAA